UACAGAGGUCUCAAGCGUUGUUCGGAUUCAUUGGGCGUAAAGGGUGCGUAGGCGGCGCGGUAAGUCGGGUGUGAAAUCUCGGAGCUUAACUCCGAAACUGCAUUCGAUACUGCCGUGCUUGAGGACUGGAGAGGAGACUGGAAUUUACGGUGUAGCGGUGAAAUGCGUAGAUAUCAGGAGGAACACCGAUGGCGAAGGCAGUGGUCUGGGCCGGAACUGACGCUGAAUAGCGAAAGCGUGGGUAGCGAACAGG
rnacentral:rRNA from 1 species